CCGUAGCCCAAGAGAUUGGGAUAACACCUGGAAACAGAUGCUAAUACCGGAUAACAACAGAUGAUGCCUAUCAACUGUUUAAAAGAUGGUUCUGCUAUCACUCUUGGAUGGACCUGCGGUGCAUUAGCUAGUUGGUAGGGUAACGGCCUACCAAGGCGAUGAUGCAUAGCCGAGUUGAGAGACUGAUCGGCCACAUUGGGACUGAGACACGGCCCAAACUCCUACGGGAGGCAGCAGUC
rnacentral:rRNA from 1 species